rnacentral:rRNA from 1 species
UAAAGAUCCGUCGGAUGAGGAUAGGCUCGCGUGACAUUAGCUAGACGGCGGGGUAACGGCCCACCGUGGCGACGAUGUCUAGGGGUUCUGAGAGGAAGGUCCCCCACACUGGAACUGAGACACGGUCCAGACUCCUACGGGAGGCAGCAGUGAGGAAUAUUGGUCAAUGGCCGGAAGGCUGAACCAGCCAUGCCGCGUGAAGGUCAGUGCCCUAUGGGCGUUAAACUUCUUUUGUGCGGGAGCAAUAAGGUCCACGUGUGGACCGACGAGAGUACCGUACGAAUAAGCAUCGGCUAACUCCGUGCCAGCAGCCGCGGUAAUACGGGGGAUGCAAGCGUUAUCCGGAUUUAUUGGGUUUAAAGGGUGCGUAGGCUGUGAGGUAAGUCAGCGGUGAAAUGCCCCCGCUCAACGGGGUGAAGUGCCAUUGAUACUGCCUUGCUGGAAUGCGGAUGCCGUGGGAGGAAUGUGUGGUGUAGCGGUGAAAUGCAUAGAUAUCACACAGAACACCGAUUGCGAAGGCAUCUCACGAAUCCGCUAUUGACGCUGAUGCACGAAAGCGUGGGUAUCAAACAGGAUUAGAUACCCUGGUAGUCCACGCUGUAAACGAUGAUGACUAACCGUCGGCGAUACACAGUCG